AUUGAACGCUGGCGGCAGGCUUAACACAUGCAAGUCGAGCGGAGUGAUGGUGCUUGCACUAUCACUUAGCGGCGGACGGGUGAGUAAUGCUUAGGAAUCUGCCAUUUAGUGGGGGACAACAUUCCGAAAGGAAUGCUAAUACCGCAUACGUCCUACGAGAGAAAGCAGGGGAUCUUCGGACCUUGCGCUAAAUGAUGAGCCUAAGUCGGAUUAGCUAGUUGGUGGGGUAAAGGCCUACCAAGGCGACGAUCUGUAGCGGGUCGGAGAGGAUGAUCCGCCACACUGGGACUGAGACACGGCCCAGACUCCUACGGGAGGCAGCAGUGGGGAAUAUUGGACAAUGGGCGGAAGCCUGAUCCAGCCAUGCCGCGUGUGUGAAGAAGGCCUUUUGGUUGUAAAGCACUUUAAGCGAGGAGGAGGCUACUAGUACUAAUACUACUGGAUAGUGGACGUUACUCGCAGAAUAAGCACCGGCUAACUCUGUGCCAGCCGCCGCAGUAAGAC
rnacentral:rRNA from 1 species